GUGCUCGCUUCAGCAGCACAUAAGCUAAUAUUGGAAUGAUACAGAGAAGAUUAGUAUGGUCCCUACACAGUAAGAGAUCACAGGGAUUAAGAAACUUGGCUU